UCGAGAAUUUUUCUCAAUGGGGGAAACCCUGAAGGAGCGACGCCGCGUGGAGGAUGAAGGUCUUCGGAUUGUAAACUCCUGUCAUCAGAGAACAAUGAAUGCAUUAACCGUGCAUUUUGAUAGUAUCUGAAGAGGAAGAGACGGCUAACUCUGUGCCAGCAGCCGCGGUAAUACAGAGGUCUCAAGCGUUGUUCGGAUUUAUUGGGCGUAAAGGGUGCGUAGGCGGCGGAGCAAGUAAUGUGUGAAAUCCCGGAGCUUAACUCUGGAACUGCACUUUAUACUACUUUGCUAGAGUAUUGGAGAGGAGACUGGAAUUUACGGUGUAGCAGUGAAAUGCGUAGAUAUCGUAAGGAAGACCAGUGGCGAAGGCGAGUCUCUGGACAAUAACUGACGCUGAGGCACGAAGGCCAGGGGAGCAAACGG
rnacentral:rRNA from 1 species